UGCCAGCAGCCGCGGUAAUACAGAGGGUGCAAGCGUUAAUCGGAGUUAUUGGGCGUAAAGGGUGCGUAGGCGGAUGUAUAAGUUAGAUGUGAAAGCCCUGGGCUUAACCUGGGAAUUGCAUUUAAAACUGUAUAUCUAGAGUAGAGUAGAGGUAAGCGGAAUUUCCGGUGUAGCGGUGAAAUGCGUAGAUAUCGGAAGGAACACCUGUGGCGAAGGCGGCUUACUGGGCUCAGAAUGACGCUGAGGCACGAACGCGUGGGGAGCGAACAGGAUUAGAUA
rnacentral:rRNA from 1 species